CACUGUCUAUCUGAAUGCAUUGGCAAGUGCCCCAAACCCACGGGCAUCUUGGGAUUCAUUCCUGUCUGCAGCAUACAGUGCUACGUGAAAUGUGGGAUCACCUUCUUCACCGAGCUUACGAAGAAACCAGCCUAAGGAGACUCGGACCAGCUGACGAGUACAGACAAAUGUACAUAUAGGGGCCUACAUAGAGACA